rnacentral:rRNA from 1 species
UACGAAGGGGGCUAGCGUUGCUCGGAAUCACUGGGCGUAAAGGGUGCGUAGGCGGGUCUUUAAGUCAGGGGUGAAAUCCUGGAGCUCAACUCCAGAACUGCCUUUGAUACUGAAGAUCUUGAGUUCGGGAGAGGUGAGUGGAACUGCUAGUGUAGAGGUGAAAUUCGUAGAUAUUCGCAAGAACACCAGUGGCGAAGGCGGCUCACUGGCCCGAUACUGACGCUGAGGCACGAAAGCGUGGGGAGCAAACAGG